CUACGGGGGGCAGCAGUGGGGAAUAUUGCACAAUGGGCGCAAGCCUGAUGCAGCCAUGCCGCGUGUAUGAAGAAGGCCUUCGGGUUGUAAAGUACUUUCAGCGGGGAGGAAGGGAGUAAAGUUAAUACCUUUGCUGAUUGACGUUACCCGCAGAAGAAGCACCGGCUAACUCCGUGCCAGCAGCCGCGGUAAUACGGAGGGUGCAAGCGUUAAUCGGAAUUACUGGGCGUAAAGCGCACGCAGGCGGUUUGUUAAGUAAGAUGUGAAACCCCGGGCUCAACCUGGGAACUGCAUCUGAUACGGGCAAGCUUGAGUCUCGUAGAGGGGGGUAGAAUUCCAGGUGUAGCGGUGAAAUGCGUAGAGAUCUGGAGGAAUACCGGUGGCGAAGGCGGCCCCCUGGACGAAGACUGACGCUCAGGUGCGAAAGCGUGGGGAGCAAACAGGAUUAGAUACCCUAGUAGUC
rnacentral:rRNA from 1 species